rnacentral:rRNA from 1 species
UUCCGGUUGAUCCUGCCGGACCUGACUGCUAUCGGAUUGAUACUAAGCCAUGCGAGUCUUUGCAGUAAUGCAAGGCAUACGGCUCAGUAACACGUAGUCAACUUACCCUAUGGACGAGGAUAAUCUCGGGAAACUGAGCAUAAUACUCGAUAGAUCAUAAUGCCUGGAAUGGUUUAUGGUUGAAAUGAUUCGUCGCCAUAGGAUGGGACUGCGGCCUAUCAGCUUGUUGGUGAGGUAAUGGCCCACCAAGGCGAUUACAGGUACGGGCUCUGAGAGGAGAAGCCCGGAGAUGGGUACUGAGACAAGGACCCAGGCCCUAUGGGGCGCAGCAGGCGAGAAAACUUUGCAAUGUGCGAAAGCACGACAAGGUUAAUCCGAGUGAUUUCUGCUAAAGAAAUCUUUUGCAAGUCAUAAAACCACUAGUGAAUAAGGGGUGGGCAAGUUCUGGUGUCAGCCGCCGCAGUAAAACCAGCACCUCAAGUGGUCAGGAGGAUUAUUGGGCCUAAAGCAUCCGUAGCCGGCUCUGUAAGUUUUCGGUUAAAUCCAUGUGCUCAACGCAUGGGCUGCCGAAAAUACUGCAUAGCUAGGGAGUGGGAGAGGUAGACGGUACUCGGUAGGAAGGGGUAAAAUCCUUUGAUCUAUCGAUGACCACCUGUGGCGAAGGCGGUCUACCAGAACACGUUCGACGGUGAGGGAUGAAAGCUGGGGGAGCAAACCGGAUUAGAUACCCGGGUAGUCCCAGCUGUAAACGAUGCAGACUCGAUGAUGCAUUGGCAUAUAGCCAGUGCAGUGUCGCAGGGAAGCCGUUAAGUCUGCCGCCUGGGAAGUACGUACGCAAGUAUGAAACUUAAAGGAAUUGGCGGGGGAGCACCACAAGGGGUGAAGCCUGCGGUUCAAUUGGAUUCAACGCCGGG